rnacentral:rRNA from 1 species
CCCUUAGAUGUUCUGGGCCGCACGCGUGCUACACUGAACGGUUCAAUGGGUAAGGUAGUGCGAAAGCAUGACCUAUCUCGAAAUCCGUUCGUGCUGGGGAUAGAAGCUUACAAUUAUCCUUCUUGAACGAGGAAUACCUUGUAAGCGUGAGUCAUCAUCUCACGCUGAAUACGUCCCUGCCCUUUGUACACACCGCCCGUCGCUCCUACCGAUUGAGUGUUCCGGUGAGGCUUUGGGAGAAUGGCCUCAACAUGAGUUUAUCGUGUUUUGCCGUUUGAACUUAGUCAAACCUUAUCACUUAGAGGAAGGAGAAGUCGUAACA